AGUGAACGCUGGCGGCAGGCCUAACACAUGCAAGUCGAACGGCAGCACAGUAAGAGCUUGCUCUUACGGGUGGCGAGUGGCGGACGGGUGAGGAAUACAUCGGAAUCUACUUUUUCGUGGGGGAUAACGUAGGGAAACUUACGCUAAUAUCGCAUACGAUCUACGGGGGAAAGCAGGGGAUCUUCGGACCUUGCGCGAUUGAAUGAGCCGAUGUCGGAUUAGCUAGUUGGCGGGGUAAAGGCCCACCAAGGCGACGAUCCGUAGCUGGUCUGAGAGGAUGAUCAGCCACACUGGAACUGAGACACGGUCCAGACUCCUACGGGAGGCAGCAGUGGGGAAUAUUGGGCAAUGGGCGCAAGCCUGAUCCAGCCAUACCGCGUGGGUGAGGAAGGCCUUCGGGUUGUAAAGCCCUUUUGUUGGGAAAGAAAAGCAGCAGGUUAAUACCCCGCUGUGAUGACGGUACCCGAAGAAUAAGCACCGGCUAACUUCGUG
rnacentral:rRNA from 1 species